CGUCCAGCGCUUCCAGCCCUUCUUCUGCGGCCCAUCGACAAGUCUACGGAAGCCCCAAUCAAAAGCUCUCCUUCGUGUUCUUCGUUUGACUUCGAUCGGCGCCGAGACUGUCUAGAUUCUGUAACGGUGUAUGUGGUUUAACGUUGUGGGAGACGAGUAUUCUCUUCUUAUCUCUCUUCCAGAUUGUUGAUCUCAAUCUAUAAAAAGGCUUGCUGCUGUUCUUCAACCGUCAAGGUCUCUGAUUUUGGGUAGCGAGCGCGGUGGAGAGCUGAAGGGUGUGGCCAUACACCUGCUAAGAUUGAUUCGUGGAUUUUGAUUUGUGCGUAAUCGACUAUGAUAUACAUCGACAACUUUGAGUGGAUGAGUAAUAGAGAUUAUAGGCUCAAACCGAAGCUGUCAAUCUUCUCUGCGGUGCCAAAAUCCAGUCAAAUCUAGAGAACACUGUGGAGAUCUUGACAGUGGCAGAGUUGCGGAUCUCUGUUUAGAUCGGCAGUUGAUUUCCCGACAACUGAGUUGGCGCUAGCAAAGAAACAACACAGCAGAACGAUGAAUGUGUCUUCGUCUUCUUAGAACUUUCGCAUUGGAUCUUUGACUAAAAAACUCUUGAUUUAGGUGAUUUGUGGUGUUGGACUUGAGGAUCUAAAGAGCAUAAACAUUAUAUCUAAAUCAAAAGAGGAGCUUGGCUAAGUGUUAAUACACGCCUUUCCUCUUCCUGGGCUUGGAAACUGAUUGGUUGAUGAGGAGAAGGAAGCCAUUCUUAGAGAUGUUUAGCACCAGUCACUUGCAAAACUGUAACACCAAGAAUCAACACCAAAGGAUUAUUGUUUUCACUGGAAGCCCAAACAAGUAUGAAAAGAAAGUUAGAUAACUGAGACCUCUUCUCUCUUCAUCUCUCAACAAGUCGAGUUGCUUUCUCAACAAUUGCUGGUAGUCCUUCAGCAUCUGGUUUAGGAAGGUCAAGCAGAAGACCAUCAGAUUCCAGUUGUUUAAGAAUGGUGAAUCAAGCUUGCUAAAUCAAAGGUUGUAUGAAAAAGCUCAAGGAAACGGAUCUUUUAAAUUUUGAAACUGUUAGAACCUGUUGUACCUUGCGGUCUCACCUGUUAGAAAGACGAUUAUAACUGGGGGAGGAGAUGCGACCUUAAGGUUCUGGAAUGUCUUACCAUCCCUGAAGUCUCAGUAUCAGGUGGGGAUCUGUGCUGAGCGUGGUCUGCUGGGUGUGACUACAUGUGCAACUAUGCUUGAAGAAAGAGUCAGAUCCAAUGCAAACCACCAAAACCAGGAUUCACUUCAACUGGUUGAAGGAACGUCUUGAUACUUGAAUUCCAUUUCAUCUUUUCGUAAGACCAAGGAGUUUGUUUAUAUCGUCACGUAAAAGGCUUAGGCUUUGCUUUGCUUAGGUUUCACAAUCGAGGUUUACAGUUAUCUUUUCUUUUUACUGAAUGUUUACAGUUAUCUUCUAUUUUUUUUCUGAACUACUGUCUAAAGUUAUCUUAAAGCAAUAAUAUUUAUUGUUUUUUUAAGUACACGACUAACCAUCUCUAUUACCCUUCUUUAAGUGGUACACCAGUUUCGAUAGGAAAGGUACUGACCAUUUACAAGUUUUGAUUUGCGUUUACCAGUUGCCACAUGCAUGAAAAACUGUGACAUGACUAGGAGAUCCUCAGAGUUAAUCAGUAAUCACGAACCUGUAAAUAUAAGUUUCCUGUCAUACAUUUAGGGUUAUGUUUUGGAGAGAGAUACGGCCUUCUUUGGUUUAGUUUAACAUAUAGUCCGCUUCAAAUUUCGGUGGUGUCAAUCACGGACCCGUUUCUUUUGGAUUCAAAGUUGCAUGCAUUUGUGUCUAAUGAUAUAUCAUGGUUAGUCACAGACGUAUUUCUUAGAUUC